CGCGCGCCCCCGUUAUUCGCUAAAACGUCGAUUCGCUCAAAUGCCGCUGUUCGCUAAAACGUCAUUCGCUCAUCUAAUAUGGACCCUAAUUAUAAUGAAACGAGUAUAAUCGCACACACAUUGUUAGCCCCCGUUCACUUCUCGCCAAAGAGCCGUCGACACGAGAACAUAUUUGAGCUUGAGGCUUCGAAGCUCGCUCUGCGUGGACCACUCUUUGCCUACAUUUGUUAUCUGGACACAUCACAAUGGCACAGCACAGUCGCAUAGCCACGGUACUACCGUUUCGAUGUUAACAGUUCACUAUCGUUACCGAUAUUACGGUCGAGGUCAUCCACUGAUCACUGCAAGACGUUGCAAGAUCGCCAUCGUCCGCCAUGAUUGCACACUAGUACGGCAUCACGGUUAUGGCUGUACGGCUUAUACCAAUUUCCAAUUUCUCCAAUCGAUGUAAUGUUUUAUAACUCUUAAAAAAAACUUAUUUUAGUACUGUCAGACAGAUUUCCACAGUUUAUUCCUACUUGAAACUUCAUGUUUAGUCGUUUACUCGUUUACGCACACUGUUGACAAGCCAAGACGCCAAGAGUGCAAGUAGCUCAAGCCAAGCAAGGUCGAAGCCAGGUUGACCACGUGACCGUAUGUCAACGGACCGUCAAGGCCUGUUUCAUCGGACCGCUCUGCCGAUCUCUCGGCGUGGAGGAAACGUAAACAAAGGAGCUGUGCGCACCUGCUUUAAACAGAAGGCAGAAAACAAUGAGCCAGCCAUCAUCGUGCAGGAAGCCGACGCCAAAUGGGCUGCUGCUGAAUCGGUCAGGCAUGCACCAGCUAGGACCAAGAAAAUGGAGCAGUGUGCCUCUUCUCAGGAGUGACUGAGGGGCUGCCACAAGGGGAGAAGGCAAGCAUGUUUCUGAUUACAAGGAUGGACAGUUGGGCUGGGCUAGUUGGUAAGAAUUCAUGUUGAGAAACGGUGCGAAAACCAGACAAAGGAAACAGAACACACAGUACCUUGUCCUGUGUGUUUUCUUAUCCGUGCAUUUUGCGCUGUUUUUCAGCAUGUUUCUGCCUUGAUUUUUCUGUUAG